rnacentral:rRNA from 1 species
UACGUAGGGUGCAAGCGCUAAUCGGAAUUACUGGGCGUAAAGCGUGCGCAGGCGGUUGUGCAAGACAGAUGUGAAAUCCCCGGGCUCAACCUGGGAACUGCAUUUGUGACUGCACGGCUGGAGUGCGGCAGAGGGGGAUGGAAUUCCGCGUGUAGCAGUGAAAUGCGUAGAUAUGCGGAGGAACACCGAUGGCGAAGGCAAUCCCCUGGGCCUGCACUGACGCUCAUGCACGAAAGCGUGGGGAGCAAACAGG